ACUACGGGUGGCAGCAGUGAGGAAUAUUGGUCAAUGGCCGGAAGGCUGAACCAGCCAAGCCGCGUGAAGGACGAAGGUGCCAAGCAUUGUAAACUUCUUUUGUCAAGGGACAAAAUCAGGCUCGAGAGCCUGACCGAGGGUACUUGAAGAAAAAGCAUCGGCUAACUCCGUGCCAGCAGCCGCGGUAAUACGGAGGAUGAGAGCGUUAUCCGGUUUUAUUGGGGUUAAAGGGUGCGUAGGCGGGCUGUUAAGUCAGCGGUGAAGCCCGGGGGUCAACCCCGGCGAGCCGUUGAAACUGGCUGUAUUGGGAUGUCGAGAGGUAUGCGGAAUGCGCAGUGGAGCGGUGAAAUGCUUAGAUAUUGCGCAGAACUCCGAUUGCGAAGGCAGCAUACCGGCGGCGAUCUGACGCUGAGGCACGAAAGCGUGGGUAUCGAACAGGAUUAGAUACCCUAGUAGUC
rnacentral:rRNA from 1 species